GACGAACGCUGGCGGCGUGCUUAACACAUGCAAGUCGAACGGAAAGGCCCUGCUUUUGUGGGGUGCUCGAGUGGCGAACGGGUGAGUAACACGUGAGUAACCUGCCCUUGACUUUGGGAUAACUUCAGGAAACUGGGGCUAAUACCGGAUAGGAGCUCCUGCUGCAUGGUGGGGGUUGGAAAGUUUCGGCGGUUGGGGAUGGACUCGCGGCUUAUCAGCUUGUUGGUGGGGUAGUGGCUUACCAAGGCUUUGACGGGUAGCCGGCCUGAGUGGGUGACCGGCCACAUUGGGACUGAGAUACGGCCCAGACUCCUACGGGAGGCAGCAGUGGGGAAUAUUGCACAAUGGGCGGAAGCCUGAUGCAGCAACGCCGCGUGCGGGAUGACGGCCUUCGGGUUGUAAACCGCUUUCGCCUGUGACGAAGCGUGAGUGACGGUAAUGGGUAAAGAAGCACCGGCUAACUACGU
rnacentral:rRNA from 1 species